ensembl:antisense Gm15050 predicted gene 15050
AGCAGCACGACGUGGCCCCGGGCGCAGGGAGCCGCACUAUAAAAAGCUGCUGGAAUUUACUGGCAGCUACAAAUAUUUGCUUAACUUGCGUCUGGAGUUGGGGGAUUUUCCGCGGAGCAGCAGAACCAGCAAUUUGAAACAAGCCACUCCAACCUCUUUUUCAAAGUUAUAGGAGGUUCCCUGUCUUGAAGUCUCCUGCCUUGGAUUUUCUGAGGUGCUGCUAUUCUGGGCAACUAUCAAAAUCCUACCUGUUAAAACAUGAUGGAUUAGAGAAAAAAAACAACCCACCAGGAACCUGAAAAACCGGCGUUCAUCUCCAUGACCACGGCUUGAACUCUCCUUCCAACUUAACGAUAAUAGGUUCUGUCUUAGAAACUGCUAUGUAAUUUGAUGUAUGGGGGUCAUUUGGCUCCAGAGGAGGCAUGGAAGCACAAACCAUAAACUCCUGCCAGACUUCCCUGAUCUUUGUAUACUUUUGUUGGUCAUAUUUGUUAUUUGGUCCAUUUUCCUGCUUCAGAAAUACUAAGUAAAGAAAAACAUCUUUUUAAAAAA